AGUGAACGCUGGCGGUAGGCCUAACACAUGCAAGUCGAACGGCAGCACAGUAAGAGCUUGCUCUUACUGUUGGCGAGUGGCGGACGGGUGAGGAAUACAUCGGAAUCUACUUUUUCGUGGGGGAUAACGUAGGGAAACUUACGCUAAUACCUCAUACGACCUACGGGUGAAAGCAGGGGAUCUUCGGACCUUGCGCGAUUGAAUUAGCCGAUGUCGGAUUAGCUAGUUGGCGGGGUAAAGGCCCACCAAGGCGACGAUCCGUAGCUGGUCUGAGAGGAUGAUCAGCCACACUGGAACUGAGACACGGUCCAGACUCCUACGGGAGGCAGCAGUGGGGAAUAUUGGACAAUGGGCGAAAGCCUGAUCCAGCCAUACCGCGUGGGUGAAGAAGGCCUUCGGGUUGUAAAGCCCUUUUGUUGGGGAAGAAAAGAAGCAGGUGAAUACCCCGAUGUUCUGACGGUACCCAAAGAAUAAGCACCGGCUAACUUCGUG
rnacentral:rRNA from 1 species